GUGGAUGCUGGUUCUAAAUUUCUCAAAGCUGGUUUCGCUAUUCCAGAUCAAACUCCUGCUAUGGUAAUACCAACCCAAAUGAAACGCAUUGCUGAAGAUGAUGAAGGUUCCUUGUUUGAGGAGGAGGAAGUGGCUGUGGAUCCCAUUGAGAGGGGUUUCGUUAAAGAUUGGGAUGCAAUGGAAGACCUGUUGCAUCAUGUUCUUUAUUCUGGUCUUGGUUGGGAAAUUGGAAAUGAAGGUCAAAUUUUGUUCACUGACCCGCUCUGCACUCCCAAGGCUAUUAGGG
rnacentral:misc_RNA from 1 species